GGGCGUAUGGUGUAGUGGUAUCACGCCUGAUUUGCAUUCAGGCGGUCCAGAGUUCGAUCCUCUGUGCGUCCA
rnacentral:tRNA from 2 species